AUUGAACGCUGGCGGCAUGCCUUACACAUGCAAGUCGAACGGCAGCGGACCUUCGGGUGCCGGCGAGUGGCGAACGGGUGAGUAAUAUAUCGGAACGUACCUUUCAGUGGGGGAUAACGUAGCGAAAGUUACGCUAAUACCGCAUAUUCUGUGAGCAGGAAAGCAGGGGAUCGCAAGACCUUGCGCUGAUUGAGCGGCCGAUAUCAGAUUAGCUAGUUGGUGAGGUAAAGGCUCACCAAGGCGACGAUCUGUAGCGGGUCUGAGAGGAUGAUCAGCCACACUGGGACUGAGACACGGCCCAGACUCCUACGGGAGGCAGCAGUGGGGAAUUUUGGACAAUGGGGGCAACCCUGAUCCAGCCAUGCCGCGUGAGUGAAGAGGGCCUUC
rnacentral:rRNA from 1 species